rnacentral:lncRNA from 1 species
UCUCUCUCUCUCUCGCUCUCUCUCUCUCUCUCUCUCUCUCUCUCUCUCGCUCUGUCACAAAACAGCCCCCUACUCCCCGCACGCCGUCCCGUUGUACCCCAGCCAACAGACAACAGCACAGCUUACAACUGGGGCUCACUACAACCUUGCAAUCAGUUACAAGGGAAAAAAUACAGAUUGAGGCCUUCAAUCAAGCUGAGGACAGAGAAAUAUGUGUGCACCAGUUCAUGCAUUCAACAAACUUUGGACGAAGGACUUCCACAGGUCCGCUGUCUCCAAAGACAAUAGUUCUGAACUGGAUCUGAUUUUGUUUUUUAACAUCCAUUGGUUGAAAGCUCAUUGUUCAGUUAUCACUUGGCUCGUGUAAAUUCUGUAGUUGCCCCUUUAAACCUAAUCCUAAAAUCAAAUCAAAGUUUAUUGGUUGUGUACACAGACU